GGAAGUUCUCGGGUGACACACCCCAGAAUUGGGCUCUUUUCUCUCUGAUUAUGGGUGUGUCACCUGAGAACUGCA
rfam:Myotis brandtii contig205792, whole genome shotgun sequence.